GUGUGUGUGUGUGUUUAAUGCCAUUAAUUAUUUCAACGGAACACUAAUAUAAAGAUGAAAGUCUCAUCUCGGUAAUCUAUGUAUGCGGGCGCAAGGAUGGAUCCGGUAAUGAAUUAGUGCCCGAGGUAUUUCUUCUGCACACUGUGGAAGAAAGUCGAUACUGCAAAGACAAGAAUCAAGGAAGUGCCGUAUACGCAAGCUGAAACAAACUGAG